UCAAGUGAAGAAGCGCAUACGGUGGAUGCCUUGGCAGUCAGAGGCGAUGAAAGACGUGGUAGCCUGCGAAAAGCUUCGGGGAGUCGGCAAACAGACUUUGAUCCGGAGAUCUCUGAAUGGGGGAACCCACCUAGGAUAACCUAGGUAUCUUGUACUGAAUCCAUAGGUGCAAGAGGCGAACCAGGGGAACUGAAACAUCUAAGUACCCUGAGGAAAAGAAAUCAACCGAGAUUCCCUUAGUAGUGGCGAGCGAACGGGGAUUAGCCCUUAAGCUUCAUUGAUUUUAGCGGAACGCUCUGGAAAGUGCGGCCAUAGUGGGUGAUAGCCCCGUACGCGAAAGGAUCUUUGAAGUGAAAUCGAGUAGGACGGAGCACGAGAAACUUUGUCUGAACAUGGGGGGACCAUCCUCCAAGGCUAAAUACUACUGACUGACCGAUAGUGAACCAGUACCGUGAGGGAAAGGCGAAAAGAACCCCGGAGAGGGGAGUGAAAUAGAACCUGAAACCGUAUGCGUACAAGCAGUGGGAGCCUACUUGUUAGGUGACUGCGUACCUUUUGUAUAAUGGGUCAGCGACUUAUAUUCAGUGGCAAGCUUAACCGUAUAGGGUAGGCGUAGCGAAAGCGAGUCUUAAUAGGGCGUUUAGUCGCUGGGUAUAGACCCGAAACCGGGCGAUCUAUCCAUGAGCAGGUUGAAGGUUAGGUAACACUGACUGGAGGACCGAACCCACUCCCGUUGAAAAGGUAGGGGAUGACUUGUGGAUCGGAGUGAAAGGCUAAUCAAGCUCGGAGAUAGCUGGUUCUCCUCGAAAGCUAUUUAGGUAGCGCCUCAUGUAUCACUCUGGGGGGUAGAGCACUGUUUCGGCUAGGGGGUCAUCCCGACUUACCAAACCGAUGCAAACUCCGAAUACCCAGAAGUGCCGAGCAUGGGAGACACACGGCGGGUGCUAACGUCCGUCGUGAAAAGGGAAACAACCCAGACCGCCAGCUAAGGUCCCAAAGUUGUGGUUAAGUGGUAAACGAUGUGGGAAGGCUUAGACAGCUAGGAGGUUGGCUUAGAAGCAGCCACCCUUUAAAGAAAGCGUAAUAGCUCACUAGUCGAGUCGGCCUGCGCGGAAGAUGUAACGGGGCUCAAACCACACACCGAAGCUGCGGGUGUCACGCAAGUGACGCGGUAGAGGAGCGUUCUGUAAGCCUGUGAAGGUGAGUUGAGAAGCUUGCUGGAGGUAUCAGAAGUGCGAAUGCUGACAUGAGUAACGACAAUGGGUGUGAAAAACACCCACGCCGAAAGACCAAGGGUUCCUGCGCAACGUUAAUCGACGCAGGGUUAGUCGGUUCCUAAGGCGAGGCUGAAAAGCGUAGUCGAUGGGAAACAGGUUAAUAUUCCUGUACUUCUGGUUACUGCGAUGGAGGGACGGAGAAGGCUAGGCCAGCUUGGCGUUGGUUGUCCAAGUUUAAGGUGGUAGGCUGAAAUCUUAGGUAAAUCCGGGGUUUCAAGGCCGAGAGCUGAUGACGAGUCGUCUUUUAGAUGACGAAGUGGUUGAUGCCAUGCUUCCAAGAAAAGCUUCUAAGCUUCAGGUAACCAGGAACCGUACCCCAAACCGACACAGGUGGUCGGGUAGAGAAUACCAAGGCGCUUGAGAGAACUCGGGUGAAGGAACUAGGCAAAAUGGCACCGUAACUUCGGGAGAAGGUGCGCCGGCUAGGGUGAAGGAUUUACUCCGUAAGCUCUGGCUGGUCGAAGAUACCAGGCCGCUGCGACUGUUUAUUAAAAACACAGCACUCUGCAAACACGAAAGUGGACGUAUAGGGUGUGACGCCUGCCCGGUGCCGGAAGGUUAAUUGAUGGGGUUAGCGCAAGCGAAGCUCUUGAUCGAAGCCCCGGUAAACGGCGGCCGUAACUAUAACGGUCCUAAGGUAGCGAAAUUCCUUGUCGGGUAAGUUCCGACCUGCACGAAUGGCGUAACGAUGGCGGCGCUGUCUCCACCCGAGACUCAGUGAAAUUGAAAUCGCUGUGAAGAUGCAGUGUAUCCGCGGCUAGACGGAAAGACCCCGUGAACCUUUACUGUAGCUUUGCACUGGACUUUGAGCCUGCUUGUGUAGGAUAGGUGGGAGGCUUUGAAGCGUGGACGCCAGUUCGCGUGGAGCCAUCCUUGAAAUACCACCCUACCU
rnacentral:rRNA from 1 species